rnacentral:tRNA from 1 species
UCUUGUAGUUCAGUGGUAUAGCACAUGCUUAGCCUACAUGAGGCUCCUGAGUUCAAUCCUCAGUACCAAAAA